rnacentral:lncRNA from 12 species
AUGUUUCCUCUGUUUCCUUCUCCCACAUGGCCCGAGCAUUGCUUCCCAAGUCCCAGCGAGCUACUGAAGGAAAAAGAAUUCCACCCCCGGCGCGGGCUCUCUGGACGCGAGCCGGGCCUGGGGCUGGGUGGAGGAGAGGGUGCCUCUAGGCCGGCGGCGGCGGUGGGGCGGGGCCAGGGCGGUCCCGGCGGGCGGGCUCUUGCGAUUGGCUGCCGCGAGGCGGGGGCGUGGCGGGAGGGCGCCUUCCCCCUCCCUCGGGAACCGCGCUGCGACUGGGAGGCCGACCGCCGAGCGGCGUCCUCAGUUUGGGGAGCCUUGGCGCCCGAGGCCGCCGGGGCUGAGGGGCGGUGCCGGAGUCUGAGGAAGCUCUUGAUUAGGGAGCCGGAAGGCAUUCCCAUUUUAUUGUAGCUCACAGUGUUUGGGGACAUCCAUCUCCCCGGGCACCCAGGAGAUCUCCAACGGACUCUCAAGGACCCGCGAAGUCGCAAUGGGGUGAAAGGGAGCCGCGGUACCCACACAGACCUCCAGGGGGCAGCAUCGACCAGGAGAUGGAGUUGUUCCGGGCUGCUUGGUCUCGCGGCAGGUGGCUGCGAAGGUUCCCCCAGGGCUCCCAUCUCUCUGAAAGGACGGAGGGAGUUUUCCUUCAGCCUAACCACCCACUCCACACCCCCUUUAAGCUGUUUUUAGAAGCAUUUAAAAAAAUAUUUAAUUUAUUCAUGAGAGACACAGAGAGAGGCAGAGACAUAGGCAGAGGGAGAAGCAGGCUCCCUGCGGGGAGCCGGAUGCAGAAUCCUCCAUCCCAGGACCCCGGGAUCACGCCCUGAGCCGAAGGCAGACAGUUAGCCACUGAGCCACUCAGGUGUCCCUCAUGCAGGACUCUUAACCAAGAUCCUAAAGGCUCUGUGAUUGAGAAUUAGAAAAAAUUACGUAUUAUUUUCACGAACCUCUAAUGGAAAUGUAGCAUUUCCUCCAAUGAAAAGUGUAGACAACAAACCACAGCAGAAUUAGCAGUAUCUGUGACUGUCAUCAAUAGAAAUCAGAUGCUUUUAUAUCACAUCACCUUCCAGUUGCAGAAAUCUUAAAAUGUCAUGUGUGCUCAUCAUUGCUUUAUAGUUUUGAUAGUGGUUAGACCUACACUGAAUGUUAUUAUAUAUCACACAUUUUUAAAUUUAUUUUUUAUUUUUGCUGCUCGGAACUAUGCCAUCACGUGCAAAAUAAUCCUCACUUGACAUGGCUUCCUAUAAGGACUCCCAAUCUGGUAGAGGAGAUGGACUGUUUAUUCACAUGGGUCACCUGGGCUGCAGCUUACUGACAGCAAGCAGAGGGAGAGGUUGCUCCAGUGCAGGAGCAAGAGGAUGUGUUGUCUGUAGAAAAUGUUAAAAUAGG